UCGAGCGAUGGAUUAAGAGCUUGCUCUUAUGAAGUUAGCGGAGGACGGGUGAGUAACACGUGGGUAACCUGUCCAGAAGACAGGGAUAACUCCGGGAAACCGGGGCUAAUACCGGAUAACAUUUUGAACCGCAUGGUUCGUAAUUGAAAGGCGGCUUCGGCUGUCACUUAUGGAUGGACCCGCGUCGCAUUAGCUAGUUGGUGAGGUAACGGCUCACCAAGGCAACGAUGCGUAGCCAACCUGAGAGGGUGAUCGGCCACACUGGGACUGAGACACGGCCCAGACUCCUACGGGAGGCAGCAGUAGGGAAUCUUCCGCAAUGGACGAAAGUCUGACGGAGCAACGCCGCGUGAGUGAUGAAGGCUUUCGGGUCGUAAAACUCUGUUGUUAGGGAAGAACAAGUGCUAGUUGAAUAAGCUGGCACCUUGACGGUCCCUAACCAGAAAGCCACGGCUAACUACGUGCCAACAGCCGCGGUAAUACGUACGUGGCAAGCGUUAUCCGGAAUUAUUGGGCGUAAAGCGCGCGCAGGUGGUUUCUUAAGUCUGAUGUGAAAGCCCACGGCUCAUCCGUGGAGGGUCAUUGGAAACUGGGAGACUUGAGUGCAGAAAUAGGAAAGUGGGAUUCCAUGUGUAGCGGUGAAAAUGCGUAGAGAUAUGGAGGAACACCA
rnacentral:rRNA from 1 species